GACGUAGGGCGCGAGCGUUGUCCGGAUUUAUUGGGCGUAAAGAGCUCGUAGGCGGCUUGUCGCGUCGAAUGUGAAAUCUCAGGGCUCAAGUCUGACAUUGCAUUCGAUACGGGCAGGCUAGAGUUCGGUAGGGGAGACUGGAAUUCCUGGUGUAGCGGUGAAAUGCGCAGAUAUCAGGAGGAACACCGGUGGCGAAGGCGGGUCUCUGGGCCGAUACUGACGCUGAGGAGCGAAAGCGUGGGGAGCGAACAGG
rnacentral:rRNA from 1 species